rnacentral:rRNA from 1 species
AGAGUUUGAUCCUGGCUCAGGAUGAACGCUAGCUACAGGCUUAACACAUGCAAGUCGAGGGGAAACGACAUCGAAAGCUUGCUUUUGAUGGGCGUCGACCGGCGCACGGGUGAGUAACGCGUAUCCAACCUGCCCACCACUUGGGGAUAACCUUGCGAAAGUAAGACUAAUACCCAAUGACGUCUCUAGAAGACAUCUGAAAGAGAUUAAAGAUUUAUCGGUGAUGGAUGGGGAUGCGUCUGAUUAGCUUGUUGGCGGGGUAACGGCCACCAAGGCGACGAUCAGGAGGGGUUCUGAGAGGAACGGUCCCCCACAUUGGAACUGAGCACGGUCCAAACUCCGUACGGNGGACA